GCUGGGCGUGGUGGCGCACGCUUGCAAUCCCAGCAGCUUGGGAGGCUGAAGCAGGAGGAUCAUGAGUUCAAAGCCAGCCUCAGCAAUGGCAAGGCCCUAAGCAAUUCAGUGAGACCCUGUCUCUA
rnacentral:sRNA from 1 species